rnacentral:rRNA from 1 species
CCUACGGGGGGCUGCAGUGGGGAAUAUUGCACAAUGGGCGCAAGCCUGAUGCAGCCAUGCCGCGUGUGUGAAGAAGGCCUUAGGGUUGUAAAGCACUUUCAGCGAGGAGGAAGGCACCAUACUUAAUACGUGUGGUGAUUGACGUUACUCGCAGAAGAAGCACCGGCUAACUCCGUGCCAGCAGCCGCGGUAAUACGGAGGGUGCAAGCGUUAAUCGGAAUUACUGGGCGUAAAGCGCACGCAGGCGGUUUGUGGAGAGAGAUGUGAAAGCCAGGUGCAUAACGGGGGAACUGAGUUGGAAACUGGCAAGCUAGAGUCUUGUAGAGGGGGGUAGAAUUCCAGGUGUAGCGGUGAAAUGCGUAGAGAUCGUGAGGAAUACCGGUGGCGAAGGCGGCCCCCUGGACAAAGACUGACGCUCAGGUGCGAAGGCGUGGGGAGCAAACAGGAUUAGAUAGCCCUGUAGUC